UUUCUUUUGGUUGGGAAAUAGUAAUUAAUACAUUGAAAUAUAUCACCAUUUGUCACUUGGACUAUUUCUUCCAAAAUUUGUAACAUUUUCACUUUCAGUUAAGUCUCGUAACCUCGUAAAACCCGCAAUGCCACCAAAUUCAUCAAAAGCGCAUAUGCUUCAUAUCUCCCUCCAACUACCACCUCUUUCCUUUGUUCAUUCAUUUCACACCCAGCUGCUCUCUCUCUCUCUCUCUCUCUCUCUCUCUCUCUCUCUUUCUAAUUUCUGUCUCUCUGCAAGCCCUUAUCUUCACCACCUACCAAAAAAAAUUACAGAAAAUGACAGAAAUCAGCAAUCUUAGCUCCGACCUAACCGGGCUCAUCCUCUCCUACCUCCCCAUCCCAACCCUCAUCCGAGCUUCCACCGUUUGUAGGCUCUGGUACUCUAUCAUUUCUUCGCCGGCUUUCUCAGCCACUGCUUCCCAGACCCACCACCAGAAGCUUCCAUGGUUUUUCCUCUACGGUAUCCACAAUACAUCUUCCAAGAACAACCAGUCCUUUGCCUUUGACCCACUUUCCAACCUCUGGUUCUGUCUACCCACCUUCCCUUCCCAUCACCAACCCGUCUCUUCCUGUUUCCUCGGCGCCGAUGGGUUUUUGCUCACUACCGCACCCAAAUUCAGCUACUGCCCUAUACUCAAACGCUCUUGGCACACCACCUCUCCGCUUCGAUUCUCGCGGAUUAACCCUCUUCUGGGUGUUUUCGGUGGUGGGUCCGGCGUGCCUAGGUUCAUCGUCGUCGGCGGUGUGAGAUUCAUCGGAAAUUUGGUCGAUAUCGAGGACCGUUUGGCUGUGGAGAUAUACAAUCCCGGUUUGGAUUCUUGGGAUCUCUGUCCCCCUUUGCCCGCGGAUUUCAGGUCUGGGAAUUCCUCGCAGUCACUCUCGUCGGCUUUGUUUGGACGCAGAUUCUAUGUUUUCGGGAUAUAUUCUUGCUUUAUUUCGUCCUUUGAUUUGGAUAAACAUGUUUGGAGCCGUGUCCAAACGCUUAGGCCGCCUGGGGUGGUCUUUUCGUUCUUGAUUUCGUGCUGGGAUCGGCUUGUCUUGGCCGGAAUUUGCUAUUCGCCGAUUGGGCCGUCGUUCAAUCUGUGGAAGAUCGACGAGGAGACCAUGGAGUUCAGCGAGAUUGCGAUUAUGCCACAGGACUUGCUGUACAGCUUGUUUGAUAGCGAUGAGGAUGAUAAAUUCGCGAGUUUGAAAUGCGUGGGACUGGGUAAUCUUAUAUACGUGUUCAACGAGGAGUACCAUAGGAAAUACCCAGCUUGUCUCUGUGAGAUUAGCAGUGAAUCUGGAAAAUGUAGCUGGACAAGAGUUCCUCAAUUGCCUUCCCCAGUUAAUAAGUUUCACAAAGUCAUUAGCUUUUGUUCUACGGUUUCGCUACAAAACAUUCUUCCGGGCGAGGAGGAAAAUGUUGAUCUGUGUUGUAUUUGUGAGAGAGCUUCUUCUUUCAAUGAAUCAGGACUUUGAAGCUCUUGCUUCAGGUCUGUUUGUCUUUGGUUAUUUCUUCAUCAAAUUGUCUACACUUACAGUUCUGCAAACUUAUUGCUAGAAAUUGUCAAUCUCUUACUUAAGAUUAGUCAUAUCUGUAAGCUAUAUUUAACACUUAAAGAAAUUUCGUUUCAAGUUUCUCCUCGGGGAUGUGGGGUUUAGAAGGAGGGUAUUAUGUUUAGAAGAUCAAAGUCCACCAAAUUUCAUUUUUUUGCCUCAGGAUGGCCUCCUAUUUUAUAACUCUGUUCCAUGGUUUAUGUAAAACAGAAUUUGCCACAACCUUUUCGUGCAAAUCUUUUUCUACUUGAUUGAUAAAUUAAAAUAUGUAUGUGUAUAUAUAUAUAUAUAUAUAUAACAUAUCAAGUGUUAUAUAAUAUUGCUGUCCUGUUAUCCCUAAUUGUGGUGGAAGGGUUGGAUUAUGGCGAUUGGUUGUUGGUAUUAAAUGUUGUUUGUGAUGCCAAUAGGUAUCAUGACUAGAACAUGUUUGUGAUGGGGCAUAACUACAUCUCCUUGCUAGAAGUUCCUCCACCCAAUAGUAGCCCUAUAUGAAAUAUAUAUGCCCUAACCACAAAGUCCAAUUCAAUGGGGCUAAGUGUCACUGCAAAGAAAUUAAACCAUUAAAGGGAUAGUCUGGAGGCGCUUUUCUAGUUGUGAUGAGUGAAUUUAUGUGGUUUUAACUAGAUGGUGGGCGAGUAUAGCUUUAAAGUGUAUUGGAAAAUGUUGUGUAGUUGGUAUUAAAUUAAACGACCUGCAUAUAUAUAUAUAUAUAUAUAUAUUUUUUUUUUUUUUUUGGAACUUUAAUUAAUUAUUCAAACUUUCAUUAUCCUCGACUUGGAGUUUUUGAAAUGGCUUGUAACAUGUAGCGUGAGAAAACGGAUUGUAUAGGAAGUAGCAUGAAGUUUAUUUAUGUGUUAACGUGCGGAGUAUUUUGGAUCAAAUAUAAUGACUAUAUAUUACUAAAAUAUAAUGAAUAUAUAAAUAUAUAUAUACAUAUUGGAAAAGAACAUAAUAAGAUAUAUGAUUUAUAAAAAAAAAAAAGAAAAGAAAAAAAAUAUAUAAAUUCAUAUUGCAACAUUAGAUAUAUAUUAUUUUCUCAUUAAUAAUGAAAGUUAAACGUGAAUAAAGGAAAUAUGCAACGACAAUGUCAAGUUUCUGAUCGACGAGCACACGCUAUUGGGAGUGAUCGGAUGAGAUCUUAGACAAUUUUGACAUUUUUUUAUUUAAUUUUAUUUCGAAAUGAAGUUUUUUUAUUUAAUUUUUUUCUUCAUAAAAAAACAGUAAAGGUGAAUAAAUGGUCAUAUAACUUAUAAGAAAAUAAUUGGAAGCAAAAAAGAGAAAAGAAAAUAAAUAGACAAUAAAUGGUAAGAGGAUGGAAUAAAAGAAUCCUAUAAAAUCUAGACCUUCCUAUUGCAAAUAAUACUAACAAUAAAUAUUUGAAUAAUAAUAAUAAUAAUAAUAAUAAUAAUAAAAUCUAGAGCUUCCUUUUCUUUUUUUUUCUUUUUCCCCUUUUUACCUAAUAAAUCUGGAGCUUCCUAAUUAACUUGAAGCACAAGAAAAUUGUAAAAAUGUCAACAAACAACAAAAAUGAACUAAAAUAAUAUAUAUAUAUAUAUAUAUUAUAAAAAAUAAAAACCUCCAACUCAAAAUAUAUGUUAGGAUAGCCAAUCUUCACCGUACGUGAAACGCACGCGCUAUGAAGGUGAGCUGGUCUUUGCAAAGAAAUAUAUAAAAUAUUAAUAAGAAGAACACGGAUAAAAUCCAAAUGGAUCGGGUAUGGAGCUACGCUGCGGACCCGUAAACUUGUUAAAGGGCUGGAGCUGGGCGAGGUUUUAGGCGAUUUGGCCCUUUUAACAAUACACUCUCGUUCUCUCUCUCUCUCUAUGCUGCGUUUUGUCUUCCGCUAGGGUUUUAGGGUUUUCCUGUCACUCUCUUUUGUUUCUUUCUUUGAGCUUUCUCUUUUGCUUAUCUUCCGAAUCUUCCACAAAAUCCCCAACAGCCAUGGAUAGAUACCAGAGGGUUGAGAAACCCAAGCCCGAAUCCCCCAUCAA